rnacentral:lncRNA from 1 species
GAUGAAUCAUACUGAGGCUGCACCGCGGCAGCGUUACAGUAAAUGUUAGAGAGAAGAAUAUGGAGCAGCCGCCGGGGGCAGAGGGCAUGUUGGACACUAACCUGACGGCCCGGCCGUCUCCUCCAGUUUCAUUUUCCACUGGAGCGUUCCAGCUCUUACCUGAGCCGCCAUCAAUCUAUUCAGCCGGAGAGGCGCUGCGAGCCGGGGCCGGUCGGACCGGCCCGGGGCGUCUUCCUUCAACACACAAUGAAGAAGAGCAAAGAAACGCAGCAGACGCAGCAGAGGACGAGCAGGUGGCUCAUUGGGUUUCAUCUCGUCUGCUGACGCAGGGAUCUGAGCGCCAGCGUCCAUAUGGACUCACGGCAGGAAACACUACUUCGGCUGGUCGGGAGGAAUCUGCCUUCACCAUCAACAACAACAAAAAUGAUCACCGCAACAAUUUAUGUAAUGAUAAACAUGUUGUAACGGGCGUGGCCUCGAUCUCCCGAAUCUGGAAUGAGUGACAGACGCGCUAGCAAGGGGGCUAACACCCAUGUGCUAUAGCAUCUGUCGCUGUCACGUCUCUUAAGGUGUCGGGAGUGAUGUCAACAAUCAGUGACUGUAUAUAAAGUGUGUGCAGGCGACAGAAGGAACCAACGGAGACACGGAACCUUCCCACGACACUUGUCUCUUGUCUCUCUUGGACCCUGGAGCCGACGUCCCUGUGAGGAGUCAGGAGCUGGUGUCCCGUUCCCUUCAUGGAUCAUAUGAGGUCAUGAAAUAUUCACAUCUGUAGAGUCUUGAGUGUGUGGUCUCUACUGUACCAGCUGCGUAAGAGGAGCUGUGGCCUCUGACUUCUGCACAGACGAGCUUUUUUCUCCUAGUUUUGUUUUUUGCGCCACAAUGAGUUGAGAGUUUGGUGAAAAUCCACCCAUGCGUUGUUGAGUUAUUGUGUUCACACACACACACACAACUGAAAACACCAUCCUGCUUAUUAGUCUGCAAACUGUGUAAACUCUCCGACCUCAGCAACAUAAAUGUGUCGGAUUCUUACAUCAAGACAAGAUGUCACGCGCUUCCUGAGAAACGGAAAUGUUGGAAAACUUGCUAUGAUCAGUAAAGUGAUUAAAAUGACUGGAGCUGCACCAACGUGUGUUGAGUUCAUCCAAGGCCCACGUCCAGGUGUGUUGGGGAUCAGUUACACGAACCUCCUCAGUGAAGGUAAAUGACCGUUUAUCAGCCUCCUCACCUCCGCGUGUCAGACGUGCACCGACCGCUGGCGACUGAAUGAUUGAUAUCAAACAAAGCUCUCUAAAUCAGGCCUGUAAAUGAUGGAUGACACACUCACACACACACACACACACUCUUGAGUUACAAGGUGCAAAGAGCAAAACCCUGCAGCUGAUUCGGUCAUUUGAGACUGUGUGUGUGUGUGUGUGUGUGUGUGUGGUGACAACAACCCUAAGAGAAGCCGACCACAGUGGUUGAGUCCCUGCAGAGAGACUUGAUCAGUUGUCGGGGAAAUUUCUGUCCUGACUCAGAAUGUUGAGUUUGGUUAAAAGUUUGUCCCUUUGUCCUAAAUACACAGAGACGGAAUGUUUCUAUGGUCAAAUGACGACACGUGAUUCUCAGAGUUAAAUACUUAAAAAAGACAAUUCACCAUGGAGACACUCAAGAGGUUCAUUAUUAUUAUUAUUAUUAUCAUUAGUUUAAAAAGUGCUAUAAUUAUCCCCAGAAAGAACUUUCUUUAAAGCUCCAGUGUGUAAUAUCUAGAAGAACUUGUUCACAGAAGUUGAACAUAUUGUCCAUAACUCUGUUCAUAUAUCUUAGAUAUAGUUCCAUGAGGUGGACCGACCUCCGUGUGAGUCUCCAUGUUUCUACGUCGUGUUGAAUACGCUUGUUGAACUAAACGUCCAGAACACGUCGCGUUCACGUUGAACUUUCAGAUGCUUUCGGAAACCAGACAUGGAAUCAGCGGUGCGACACCAUAAAGUGUCCCCUGUCGGUCGCUCGGUUGGUUGCGGUUUGACACUUCACCACCAGAUGUCGUAAGAAAAUUACACACUGAGUUCUUCUGGGCCUGUGGGUCAUUUACAUAACCCCACCUUUUCCCUUUGAGUUUAGUUUUUUUUCCGUCUGUCUCCGGUUUGUUUUCACUGCUGUCGUGGCACACAGGCUCCCUGCCCCGCGGCGAGGACACGCCGUUAACACACCCUGACAGCGGAAGCCGCUGCUUAAAGUCCACAUACUGUAAAAGGUUUGACUUUGGAGACAGACGUCUAAAAAUAGGAUCUGUGAAUAAAACGUCAAAACAAUCAUCUUGAGGACAAAGGGACGGAGGAUGGUCUUCAGUGGACAGAAGAGCUGAAUGUGCUGGUUGUCAGCUCAGCGUCAGCCAGAGAAGAGCGAGCGGAGGACGGAGAGGGAAGGUCGUCGACACCGAGACAGGAACAGGACAAAUGAAUAUGAACCACGAAAUUACUGACAAAGUCAAACUAAGAACCAGAUUAUUCCAGCAGAUGUGAAUUAAGGUUCUUGGAUAUUUGGAUAUAUUACAGAUAUCUGUCAAUCGACACACACACACACACACACACACACACACACACACACACACACAGUAAUUUCUCCUAAAUGUGUAACUGGGCCUUUAAAUAAAAAGAUGAAGUUGUUCAUCACUGAAAUCCAAACCUGAUCUCCUCCUCCUCCUCCUCCUCAUCCUCAUCCUCCGGCUCCCCCUUGUGGCUGCUCCUCGUCACUACACUUUGUGUUUUUCUAUUAAAAAGGAAAAGAAGAAAAAACAACAGACAUUAUGGAAAACACGUCCUCAUAUCCAACACACAAUCCAUCACAUCACCGCGUGGGAGGGAUGCUGGCGUUCACAUGGAGACGAGCCCUGGCAACAGGUGGAUGCUUACUGUGUGUUGCCAUGGCAACCGGUGAACUGGUGAGAGGGAGGAGAGGCGGAGAUGUCAAAAACCGAGGGAGGAGGAGAAAAAAAACACGAGGGAGGAGAAACGAUGAGGGGAGAAGAGAGACUGUGACACGGUGGACGAGAGAAAGUUCCCUCAGGUUUUAUGAUUAUUUAUAGACGAUAAUGAAAUAAAAUCUGAUAAAAUAAAUGAGACGCUCCUGCAGUUUUUUAAUAACGAGGCCGAGUUCAGCCUCCGGGCCUCAUGUGGUUCCACGAUCGUUUCUCUUUAAUCCACUUUCCUCUGUGAGUCACGUCCCUGAUGUUUGACCUGUUUACUGACAGAUAAAGUAGGACGACCGCCUCACACACAGAACCAGUAUAAUAAUAUAGUAAUAUAAAAACACAUAACACUGGACCGACCAGAGGCGGAGCAG